rnacentral:lncRNA from 1 species
AAUUGGCGGAGAAGAACGCAACACCACCGCGGAGACUGAGCACGAAAUGCUCGACGAUUCCUGAAGAUUACACAGAGACGACAAAGAAGGCGAGGUCGAAGAAUAAAUAUACGAGGCCCCCAAAACCACGACAGGAGUCCAUGUCCCGUCGCGUGUGCAAUUUGGAGAUCGCCGUGGACAACACGCUCACCGACAACAUCCUGCAGGAUACCAAGAGUAUCGUGGCGUCGCGGGAGAUCGCCACGUCCGUUAUCGCCCACAUGAUAGACAAAGUGAACUCCAUCUACGGUGCCACAAACUUCAACGGCAUAGAAGACAUCAGCUUCGUCGUGCAGCACAUUAUGAUUAGCGAGCCUGGAGACUGCGUGGGCUACAAGGCGAAGCAGAACCCGCUGUGCAGCACGUCGUUGGAUCCCACCGCAACUUCUGUACCUGGUGUCGCUUACGCGCCAUGAUGACUACUGCCUGUCGUUCAGGCUUAACUUCCGCGACUUCUCGGACGGCACGCUGGGCCUUGCAUGGAUCGCUGGCGACGAAAUGGGCUCUGGUGGCAUCUGCGAGCGGUACCGGUCGUCAGUAGAGUACGAUCCCGUCAAAGGCGAAUACAGGCAGGCCCAGGAUGAGCCUCAACUGCGGAAUCACCACGCUCAUCAACCAGCGGCAGUACGUGGGGAUACUGGUAGGCUCACUCACGCUCGCCCACGAGAUCGGUCACACCUUCGGAUCGCCCCACGAUAAUGGGCCCAUCUGCGAGCCGGAUGGUCCCGAUGGAAAGUACCUGAUGUACGCGGCUGCGUCCAGGGGGGACCGGCCCAACAACAGCCGCUUCUCGCCCUGCAGCAUCGGCAACAUCAGCGAAAUCUUGGUGCCUUUAUUCAACGGCGAGAUAUCGCGUGGGAAUUGUUUCCAGAG